rnacentral:rRNA from 1 species
CAAUAGCGUAUAUUAAAGUUGUUGCGGUUAAAAAGCUCGUAGUUGGAUCUCGGCAGGCAGGGGGUGGUUCGCUCUUAGCGCUACUGCCCCAUUUGCCUGUGUGAUUGGCGGAGGUUUCGGGGUGCUCUUCGUUGAGUGACCCGGGGCGCCGUCAGGUUUACUUUGAAAAAAUUGGAGUGCUCAAAGCAGGCUUUUCACGCUUGAAUAUUCGUGCAUGGAAUAAUGGAAUAGGAACUCGUUUCUAUUUUGUUGGUUUUCGGAAAUCGAGUUAAUGAUUAAUAGGGACAAUUGGGGGCAUUAGUAUUCAGACGACAGAGGUGAAAUUCUUGGACCGUCUGAAGACUAACUACUGCGAAAGCACUUGCCAAGAGUGUUUUCAUUAA